CCCCUCAAUUUUGCUAAACCCGCCAAUAACUCCUUUUUCCUUUAAUUUUUUAUAUAUUUUAUUAAUGAAAUUAAAGAGUACUCGAUCGUCCAUUCUCCACAAAACUAUCACUGUCGACACAUCCAAAGUUCAUCCAUCCACAACUCAAUUCACCAUUGAAAUCAGUCAUCUUUGUCAAGUGGCUAACCCUAAAUUCCCAAGGUCCAUUCGUGAACCCAAAAUCCCCUAAUCUCGACUGCUAACCCUAAACUCCCAAAUCCCCAAAUCCCAAAAUUCCUAAAGUCCUAAAAUCCAUUUAUUUCACUCGAAGGAGAUGAAGAACAUAGGAAUAAUUAAAGGCAGCGAUUACAGGUGAAGAAAAUAUUCCAAUCGCGAUAAAUUUUCGAUCCAAAAGGCAAUAUGUGAGUAAUCAUUUUCAGGAAUUUGAAUAGUCGUGAAUCAGGAAGACAACUCAAGUAAAAACAAAAAAAAAGUUAAAAAUUGCAUUGCAGUUGGAUCACUUGCAUCUUUGCUGAACCAAAACGUUUCAUCGUUGAAAAUAAAAAGAAUUUUUCAUGCUACAAGGGAAAAUGACAAGCAUCAACUGAAUUUAAUUGAAAAAUAACUUCCACAAUUAAGAGCUCAAGUGCAAGAACAAUUGUCGCAACUGCCUCUACCUUCUGUUUUUCCUCCAGUCCAAACUGUACAUGUGCAAGUGCAGCAAAAGUCAUUGAACUCUACCUCUCUUGCAUCACAAGCAGUACGUGAACAAUUGCAGCAAGUGCAACAAAAGUCACUGAACUCUACCUCGCCUACAUCACAAGUAGUACCUGAACAAAUGUAGCAACUACCACUGAAUUCAACCACUCGUACUUCACAAAUGGUCCUUAUGCCGAAAAAGGAAAAAGAGGCAAAACUUUGAUGCCAAGUGUUCAUGGUAGGAAAGAGUACAAACUAAUUGUGCUAAACGAGAACAAUCAACCCAUAGGUCCUACUGAUGAUGUUGUAGUAGAGUUGGGUAGCUUCCUCGACACAUUGGCAAGGAAUGCGACCUUUUGUCCUCUUAAUGUGUUUAAUUGGAGGAAACUUUAAACAAAAGAAGAUAUGUGGAAAUAUAUCAAGGUUUGAAGUUCGCAAUAUUCUGUGUAGAUAUUUCAUAUUUUUACACUAACCUGACUAUACCAAAUUUGUAGGGAAAAUAUGACAUUCUUGAUGCUACAAAAGGUGGUUUUUGAUUCAAUCGCUAAUGCUUGGAGAAAGUAUAAGAAUCAAUUAAUGAAAUACCAUUUUCAAGCUUAUGAUAAUGAUGAGCUUCGAAUCGAGAAAAGGUCGGUUGAUGUUCCUGAAUCUUAAUUUAGGGAUCUUAAUUAUUGAAACUCUGAUGCCUACAAGAAAAUGUCCAAAACCAAUACCGAGAAUCGCAAAAAGUUGAAAUAUCCACACACUGCUGGCAAAAGAAGUUUCGCUCGAAUAUGCGAGGAAAAAAAGAAAGAAACUUUUGAACCUCUAUCAAGCAAGGAUAUCUUUGUGGCUACGAGAAAAAGAAAACCCGAUCGAGUAUACAAGGCCUCGUAUGCGGAUACUCUUAAUAAAAUUGCUGAAAUGGAAAGAUUUCAAUCAUCACAAGAAAGUCAGUCAAUCAGUUGAUGCAUUUGCAUCAGUCAUGGGACCUGAGCAUCCAGGUCGCCUAAGAUUGUAUGGACGUAGGGUUACCAAGGCUUCCUUAAAGAGAAAAGUGGGAGAUUUUGGACCCCCUUUAAGUUCGACUGAUGAGAUGAUGCAACAAAAAUUGGAAGAAAAGGAAAUAAAGGAUGGAGCAUAGGAUGCAAGAAAAGUUUAACGCACAAAAAGAUGCCAUGGAACUACAAGUUGUAGUUAACAUCAUUUCACAACGUAAGCAUCUGAAUCUAGAUUUACGGGUUGAUCCCACCAUGCUAGAUUUUAAUGCUCGUUCACCUGGAGAAGCUUCUUCUGCACAACAAGUUGUUGUGCAACUAAUCAAUCGUCUAUCUACUAGGAGUAAUAAUCAAGGUCGAGCAAUUGAAGAAGGGGAAGAUGGAGAUUGUGAAGAUCUAGACCUUACUUAAGAACUUUAAAAUGUUGUCCAUAUUCUAAGAAUCUUUUGUUAUCAACAUUUGAAAUUACUGUAUCUCUUGAAGUGUUGAAAUGUAUAACUUAUGCGAUUGGGUUAAAACAUUUUGGUUUUAUGGAUAUAUUAGCUUAUUGGACAAUAUAGAUUAUGAA